AGCGAACGCUGGCGGCGUGCCUAACACAUGCAAGUCGAGCGAGAAAGGGGUGGCAACACCCUGAGUAAAGCGGCGAACGGGUGAGUAACGCGUGGGCAAUCUACCUUCCAGUCUGGGAUAACCUUCCGAAAGGAGGGCUAAUACCGGAUGAUGUCCUGUUGGGGCAUCCUGAGGGGAGCAAAGGGGCGGACCCGCCAAGGGCGUCUCGCUGGAGGAGGAGCCUCGCGUCCGUAUUAGC
rnacentral:rRNA from 1 species